GAACCUCACAGGCCUAGGUGGAAUGCAAGGACAGAAACCAACGUGCUUCCUAAUAAACAUUGGGACACAUGGGGAGGAAGAAGCAGCUAACCCUGAACUGUUCUCUGAAAUGCAGCAUCGGGGGCCUAACCUCAGCUGCCUUCAUUGCGGACCUCAGAACCACCUCGUGCCAGGAACAGAAGACUCCAAUCAGGUCUGCUGGACCUGACAGUAGCAGCCGCCUGCACAUGGCAAUGCCAGGCAAAGCAGGCAAGUUCCACUCAGCAACUGCACAGAACCAAUGUCCACCCCAAGACACAGCUGGCUUCGUUUGUUUAUAACAUCCCCGAACUGCAAGCAACCUGAAGGUCCUUCAUCAGUUGAAUGGAGAAAAGAAUGGUGAUCUACCCACACAGUGGAAUAGUACUCAGUAGUCAACAGGACUAUAUAGAAAAGACGGCUCGGAUGGGUCUCACUAGUACCAAGUUGAUCAAAAAGGGCCAGAUCAAGAGGACACAUUGCACCAUUCAACUUCAACACAGGUUCCAGAGGCAAAUUGAACCUUCGGGAAUUAAAAACAAAAGAUCAGAAUAAAGGUUACUUUGGUGGUAGGUGGGUGAGGUUGCUGCCUGGGAAGGAAGAUGAGGCAACAACCAUGGAGAGAUCUGGGUAUCAAUAUAUAGGUAGAAAUUACCCGUGUACCCACAUCUAGAAGCAUGUUGAGCUUACACUUAAAAUUAGUCUAUAUUAUACAUGUGUCAUACAUAUGACAUUUGAGAUAUAUGACCUGAAGUUUGCCUCUUAAUAAACGAAGUCCAUCGCUGUUCAAA